AGCGAACGCUGGCGGCAGGCCUAACACAUGCAAGUCGAACGGAUCCUUCGGGAUUAGUGGCGGACGGGUGAGUAACACGUGGGAACGUGCCCUUUGGUUCGGAAUAACCCAGGGAAACUUGAGCUAAUACCGGAUGAGCCCUUCGGGGGAAAGAUUUAUCGCCAUUAGAGCGACCCGCGUUAGAUUAGCUAGUUGGUGAGGUAAAGGCUCACCAAGGCUACGAUCUAUAGCUGGUCUGAGAGGAUGAUCAGCCACACUGGGACUGAGACACGGCCCAGACUCCUACGGGAGGCAGCAGUGGGGAAUCUUGCGCAAUGGGCGAAAGCCUGACGCAGCCAUGCCGCGUGAAUGAUGAAGGUCUUAGGAUUGUAAAAUUCUUUUACCAGGGACGAUAAUGACGGUACCUGGAGAAAAAGCCCCGGCUAACUUCGUGCCAGCCGCCGCAGUAAAAC
rnacentral:rRNA from 1 species